rfam:Ricinus communis cultivar Hale ctg_1100012362470, whole genome shotgun sequence.
GGGUGUGAUCAUACCAGCACUAAUGCACCGGAUACCAUUAGAACGCCGAAGUUAAACGUGCUUGGGCGAGAGUAGUACUAAGAGGGGUGACCUCUUGGGAAGUCCUCGUGUUGCACUCC